rnacentral:pre_miRNA from 1 species
UGCCUGGCUCCCUGUAUGCCACAAGCACAACCCGAUCUUUCCGAUGAUUGGCCGGUGCCGGUGGCGUGCGAGGAGCCAAGCAUG